GGCGCGUUCGUCUAGCGGUCCAGGACGCCGCCCUCUCACGGCGGUAACACGGGUUCGAGUCCCGUACGCGCUACCA
rnacentral:tRNA from 2 species